GUUUAUAUAGUUUAAAAAAAACAUAACGCUUUCAUCGUUAAAUUGGAUUUUAAUCCUUUAAAUA
rnacentral:tRNA from 1 species